rnacentral:rRNA from 1 species
CUAGAUGUGAAAGACCCGGGGCUUAACCUCGGAAUUGCAUUUGAAACUGGCAGGCUAGAGUCUUGUAGAGGGGGUAGAAUUUCAGGUGUAGCGGUGAAAUGCGUAGAGAUCUGAAGGAAUACCAGUGGCGAAGGCGGCCCCCUGGACAAAGACUGACGCUCAGAUGCGAAAGCGUGGGGAGCAAACAGGAUUAGAUACCCUGGUAG